rnacentral:lncRNA from 1 species
GAUCACGUGACAACGUCCUCGCGUCGGGAGCGUCUUGAGUUUGAAGCGGGAGAGAUAGUCCGGGUUCUGCGGUUUGCUCUUCUGAGUCUUAGGAAGACGCUUUGGGUCUUGGGUUUUCUCGUUUGCAAAAUAGCUCGGUUGCGGUAGAGCUUCUUCCAGAAUUUGUUCACGUAAAAACAGAAACUCUUAUUUGGAGGAAGCGGGGGGCGGGGUAGGCAAACCUGUUAAUGUUAAAUCAGCCUUUUUGUACUUGAGGGGAAUUGUCGCUGCACGUAACUAACGGUAUUUUAUAGUUUCCAAAUGGUUUUCACAUCAAUGUCUCGUUAAAAACGCCUUACUACGCUGACAUAUGGGCGGGAGUCAACUUGACCUGCUUUUUCGUUAUAAAAAUUACCCUCGGAGAGGAUGCGGACUGAAAGUUGAAAUUGUCGACCCGAAAGUUGACAAUUACGUUUUAUUCGCACACUUGCUGAGGACCUAAACCUGGGAUGUAGCGGCUCAGAUCUCUUAGGUGGACUGUUCUGAAGAGUCCGAUGAUGACCAAGGCAAGCAAAUGGGAUAAGACCAGGCUGCCAGGUGAAGGCUUCAUCUCAGGAACAGUGAAGCGUCCUCAGCCUUAAAAAGGUAGGCGUUCCCGUUGUGGCUCCACAGGUUAAGAAUCCAACAUAGUGUCUCUGGGGAUGCGGGUUCGAUCCCUGGCCUCACUCUGGGUGGAGGACCUGGUGUUGGUGGCUGUGGUGUAGGCCUUCACUGCAGCUCCGACUCAGCCCCUAGCCUGGGAGCUUCCGUAGGCUGCUGGUGCAGCUGGAAAAGAGAAAAACAGAAAAAAGAACGAAAACGCUAAGGGCGGGAAUGGCGCUUAGGUUUCUGCUUCCUUGCCAGGUCAGACGGGCGCAGCGUGCUGGGAUUGCUCUGCUGAGGUUUUGAAGCCACCCCGGCUCCCGGGAGUAUGCUGUCAUCUACUACCGAUCCCUGGUGUGGGCAGGGGGAGGGCAGGAGGGUUGGAUGUGACGGAGCCCUUCUGUCUCUGGCUGAGAUGUUUCUCAGUGGGAGCACUGGUGGCACUGUGGAUGGAUGGGUCACUUCUUUGCUGUGCGGGGCUGUCCAGCAGGGCCUUCGUGGCAGGGCCUUCGUCCAGUGGUGCUAGUAGGACCACUCCCGUCCCUGUGACAAGCAAGAGUCAACCCCCCCACAUGUUUUUAUGGCUCUACUUGAAAAUCGCUAAGUUUGACCAAGAGUGUCUUGGCAUGGAUUUAGCUGAGGAUUGCCUAGAUCUUCUUAAAUUCUUCAAGGAAAAAAAAAAAUGAGAAUGAGGAUUUUCCUUAUAGAACCUGAGAACGGACUUGCCCGUGGCGAUGGGUGGGACCUUAGAGUGGAGUUGGGAACGAAGAGCCCAGUAAAGGGAAGAAGAUGCUCAUGAGGACGGGGAGGCAGGGAGGACCUGACAGCAGGUGCUUCACUUGUGAUCCCUGGUUGAGGAAAGGCCACGGGGCGCCUUGGCUGUUGGGGAAGGGGUAUCCUGUUCAACAUCAGUGUCAUUUGGGGUACCCUCAUCCCCCUUAGGGCUCCAUUAUCUCCAGGUGUGUUCUCGGGUCGGCGUGUUGGCUCCCUCCGACAGCCCUCAGAGAGCUGCCCCUACUCUGAACCCACGGAAUCAUACCAGCCACCUGAACCUACUUUUGGAGCAAGGUAGCACAUGAGCCAAGGAAUGCAUAAAGAAAUUAUUUCCUACCCCUUAAUUUAAGAGUUCAAGUAUCACCUGUUUUCAUAUUCGUCACACCCCCGUCAGUGCGCCUGCAGAGAAAAAUGAGAAGAGAGGGUUUCAACAGCAGACACGACACGGUGGCCACGUUCACGUUUUGUGUUUGUCAAAGACCCAGGAGCACUUUAGUGGAACAGGUUGGGUUUGUUCUUCUUCUCCACGAGGGACAGUACACACGGGAGCCACGGUGUCGCUCAGGGAAAGGUGGCUAGGAUUUGUUCUAAGAUUUGGGAUUGUUAGGUCGAUGUGGGAGAAUUUUAAGAAACACUGGCUUUGCCCUGGAUCAGAUGCCCUCAGGAAGUGGGAGUAGUUCUGGGAUUUGGUAUCUUAAAAAGUCUUCCUGCGAAGGAGGGAAGGAUGGCCACAGGCUAACGUUGUAACUGGAAACGCAGUAGCACCCACUCACCCUCUCAAGUUUGGAUAAUGUUUAGGUUCUGCCUUUGUUCAGCCCUAAUUGUGGGGGAGCUCUGCCUUUGUCUGGCGUCGUCCUGGUUACAGCAGGGCUUUGUUGGGUGUUCAGGGUGAAAUGGGCUGUUAGGCAGGAGAGCAUCGAGGCCCAGCCCCGAGGAGCAGGCCUGACCGAAGCAGUGCCAGGGCCAGCUCCUGCCUUUGCCCGAGGUUGUCUCUCUCUCGCAGGUUCUACCCUUUUCAUCGUCGUUCGUCUUCUUGCUCCCGUGCUGGACUGUGAGUUGCACGAGGGCACAGACUCGUUUUGGUUGAACUGAGGACCCAGGAUUGAGCCAAGUCUCUCAGUUUCCUUAAAAAUACCUAAAAGAGUAUUUCCCGAAUCAACAUGUGAAUUGUUCAAUUAGCUUAUCAGACUGGGAAUUGCUCCUAACAGGGCUUCCUUCCCGCUCAGCUCUGGGUUUCGAGAAACAAAUGCGCUUCUGGUCCAUCGCAGUAAAUAAGUCCUCAGUUAAAGGGAAGCUUCCCAUACGAUGAGGUUUAUUGAUUUUUUUUAAAAGUAAGGGAAUAGAGUGAAUUCCACUUCUUGAAGGGAAGAUGAGGCUUGGUUCAGACCGGUUCACUCAUGACAAACGAAGGAAAAUCACUUCUCAUUCAAAAUAUUUAGGCCCGGUGACAUUUUCCAAUGUGUUUGACUCGAAGGGUGAGCUGCAAAGCUCUAGGAAAAAUGGAUGUAAAUAUUGAGUGAGCACGUGUAUGAAAUACCUCUCCCUCCUCCUCUAGUUGUCCCAGUGGAGAGAUUGGGAGCAAAGACGCAUCUUGAUUUGUAAACUCUUGAUUUGUGCGUGACCCGACCCACCUCCCCCCUCCCUGUUCCCUUUGCUCUGGAGACCCCUUGACUUUGGAAUCAGGGUGAAAAGUUAUUAGGGCUUUUAGCAAAUGCGGACGCUUGUAUGUUAAGAAGCAGGGGGAGGGGGAAACAAGGACCCCCUGAGCAAUCCUGGGAAAAUCGUUUUCCUUUUUUGAAGCCGAAUUAACCUUAUUUGUAACAUGAGCAUAAUUAGGGUGCCUACUGAAUACACUCUUUGAGGCUCCCUGUGAAAGUGCUGUGGGAACUGCAGACAGAGAGGAUUCCUCUGGGGGGGGGGAGUGGGGGGCAAGGAGCACAGUGGUCAAGACAAGAGAACCACAGCCGUGCGGAAAACAUAAGGGAGAAAUUUGCAAAGCCGGUUACUUCGUUUCAUGGUUAAAUGUGAUUAAAUUAUCGUCAGUGGACUUUAGCUAUUGCAUUUUUCAUGCAAAAGUAGCCCAUUAAAAAAUGAACGGUAGUCAUGUAGGAAAUAAAAAAAAAAA